ACUUCCAUUUAAAAGUGAAACUGAUACAGUACUGGUUUCCUCUGAUGUUGCCAUUUUCCCUGAGGUUGCUAAAGAAAACGGCAUGAACUUCUUUACUUCUCUUGGACAAUCCAAGAGAUUGUCCAAGAGAAGUUUUUUUUUUUUUUAGAAACUUCUUUUGAGGAAUCCUACAUCACUGGAAGAUCAUCAGGGCUUCUCUGGAUACUGCUCUGAAAUGAACAACCACAAAAGAAUAUUAAGCAGGAUAAUUCUGUGAAAAUAGAACAGACUAUACCUAUAUUUGCUAUGGUGGAAGAGACCAACCAAACUAAAAAAAAUGAGCUGAGUCUAGCCAGGGGCUGCAGAGGAAAAUAUUCAGAAAUAUCUGGUUCUCUGGAACAAUAUUCCCUAGGAAUAUUGCAAGGGGCAGCAGAAAACCUGCAGCACCAAGCUCAUUUGAUAUCAAGUAAGCCUGUGGAACUAGUUUUCCUUGGAAGAAUGCAUGUUUCCUAAAUAUUUCCUAAAUCUUGAGAAGUGAAAUGUUCAGCAGUGGUUAGGGAAAAAAAAUUCUGCACAUUUUUGCAACGUCUAAACUAGCAGUAUCAAUUUCACAGAUACAAGCAAAAUUCUUUGAAUAUGGUGUUGACUAAAAACAGGAAAUCCCCACCUGUGAGGACACGCAGUACAUUUCCAGUUUUCAGAACAGAUUGUGGGAAUGCUCACAAGAUGGCUACCAUGAGCAACUUGUCCAUUUAUAAAAUGGCUACCAUAAACUAAGCUCAAAGCACCAAUUUACCAGUAGUCAGACUGCUAAAAUUAUUCAUUCUUCACUACUCUUGUGUCACCUCCUCAAAAUACAUCUGACCAACCAUAAUUUACUUCUUUUAUUUUUUUUCUACCCCCAAAUGGCUGUCCUUAUCAAUUCUUGCACAUUUUUUUCAAAGUCUGAACUAACAUUUCAGAAAUUCUGCAGAGAGGAGGAUGUUGACAAGCUGAGAAGCAUUCAGCCACAAACCAUAAGAGCCUCAAAGACAAAUCCGGCAAGAAAAGACUAAAAUCACUAGAUAUGUAGAGAAAAUAAGACUAAGUAGGGAUGUUCUGACAGGUUUCAAAUAUUUGAAAUAAUCUCAAACAGAAGAGAAGGAUAGAACUAUUUUUCACUUUAUCUACCAAGAAGAAAAGGAAACUGUGUUAAAACAACAAAAGGGCAGCCCUAAACAUUAGGAAGUUGUCCAAAACACUAAAUGAACUCAGAGGUUUAUGAAAUCAUUUUUCUUGAAAGCCUUCAAGAGGAUGGUCACUCUUUAAAAUCUGAUGGGAUACAAUCAAGAUCAAGUGAGAUACUAAUACCAUUCUAUAAAGCCCUAGUAAGACCACACCUAGA